GUUUAGCCGUCACAGUGACAUU
rnacentral:miRNA from 1 species